rnacentral:rRNA from 1 species
UUAGAGUUUGAUCCUGGCUCAGGAUGAACGCUGGCGGCGUGCCUAACACAUGCAAGUCGAACGGAGUUAUGAUGUGAGCGGGAAGUGCUUGCACUAAACAAUCUUUUCAUAACUUAGUGGCGGACGGGUGAGUAACGCGUGGGUAACCUGCCCUGUACUGGGGGACAACAGUUGGAAACGACUGCUAAUACCGCAUAAGCGCACGGGAUCGCAUGAUCCUGUGUGAAAAACUCCGGUGGUACAGGAUGGACCCGCGUCUGAUUAGCUGGUUGGUGAGGUAACGGCCCACCAAGGCAACGAUCAGUAGCCGGCCUGAGAGGGUGAACGGCCACAUUGGGACUGAGACACGGCCCAAACUCCUACGGGAGGCAGCAGUGGGGAAUAUUGCACAAUGGGGGAAACCCUGAUGCAGCGACGCCGCGUGAGUGAAGGAGUAUUUCGGUAUGUAAAGCUCUAUCAGCAGGGAAGAAAAUGACGGUACCUGACUAAGAAGCCCCGGCUAACUACGUGCCAGCAGCCGCGGUAAUACGUAGGGGGCAAGCGUUAUCCGGAUUUACUGGGUGUAAAGGGAGCGUAGACGGCAUGGCAAGUCUGAAGUGAAAUGCGGGGGCUCAACCCCUGAACUGCUUUGGAAACUGUCAGGCUGGAGUGCAGGAGAGGUAAGUGGAAUUCCUAGUGUAGCGGUGAAAUGCGUAGAUAUUAGGAGGAACACCAGUGGCGAAGGCGGCUUACUGGACUGUAACUGACGUUGAGGCUCGAAAGCGUGGGGAGCAAACAGGAUUAGAUACCCUGGUAGUCCACGCCGUAAACGAUGAUUACUAGGUGUUGGGGAUUAAUAAAUCCUCGGUGCCGUCGCAAACGCAAUAAGUAAUCCACCUGGGGAGUACGUUCGCAAGAAUGAAACUCAAAG